ensembl:lncRNA
CUAGAGACCGUUGUAGGUUCCCCCCGAGCCUCAGCUUCCUCCUCGGCUAUACGAUAUUGCCUCUGCUCCAACCCGUCCCAGGGACCCCGGUUCCGGCUGAAAGAGACAUCGGGGGAUGCUUUCCUUAGCCGGAGCAGACGCACUUCCGGUUGUCCCACCCGCUUCCGGCGCGGCUCCGUUCGCUUCCGCCAGCUUCCGGUGGCGUCACGCGGCCCGGAAAGUGGCAGAACGGCGCCUCGGGGACCCGCCCACCCCCUCUUCCGAAUUGGUACCGGACGCUGGGACCAAGCAGAAGAACAAGAAGGCCUAGACAGUGGGAGUCAAGUGACUUGCCCAGGGUCACCCAGCCGGGAAGCUUCUAAGGUCAGAUCCAGAACAGGUCUGGGUAUCGGCUGUGUUUCUGCUGAACCCGUCCCACGUGCCCAGCUACCUGUUGGACAGCUCCAGCCGGAUGGGUCUGAGCUCAGCGGGCAGGGCCGGCCGCUCUUGGGUCACCCCAGAAGUCAGGACCUCCCUCUAGACCCGGGACUUCAUCUGUCUGUGGAACUCUUGGACAGGAAGCCCUCCCCCCACCGCUGCCGAGCAGAGGCCUGGAGAAGGCCCAGCUCUUGGAAAGCCACCGGCGCCAGCUCUGGGGUCCCACUGUCACUGGUCUUGCUGGACGUUCCCAAUUCCCACUGAAGCGGGCCCCAAGCACUGGGGGGUUUGCAGAGCCGCUGGAAGUGGCCUCAGAGUCGACACCUCUGACCCAGGCAGGACGGAGGCCGAGAUGGGCCUUGAGGUGGGCUCUGACCACUUCCCACCCCGCCUCUGCUCCCUCCAGGCCUCUCCCGGGUCCCCACAUGUCAGCCUCGGGAAGUCUGGUAAACCGAGAUCAGCUGUGUGAGGGGCUGGGCAUGGUUUUUGUUCUGUUCUACACCUGCUCGAGGGGUCCUUGACAAGGGGGAAGGGGAGCCGUCUGUAGAGCCGGCCCUCCUCCCUCCUCCCUCCUCCUCUUCCCUGUUGUGAUCGGCCUCAGGGAGGGAAGUGGAAGGUGACGGAGCAGAUCAGCAUCCAGGAACCUAAGAGGGGCCAACUGAUAAGCUCUGGUCGAGGCCAAAGUCCACCACCGGCUUUCCAGGCUCUUCCCCUUCCGGCCUCAGUGCCGAUGUUCACUGAGGCCAGCCUUCAGGAGGCUCGCACACACCCACCACCUUGUCCCUCCCCACACCUGAGCCACCCACAGCGCCAUCCCACCUUUGUUCCCAAGACCGAGCCAGAAGGGCCCCUUCAGAUCCCAGGAGAGACAGCGGGGCGCCUGCAGACAACAUUGAGUAGGUGGUCCUUUCAGGGGGAUGAGGAAGGGCCUCAGGUCCAAGGAAGGAAACCGGGGUGCCAAGAGGCCAUCGAGGCUUGUGGAGUCACCCCCAGUCAAGCAGGAGCCCCCCUUUAUGGGGGGAGAGCAAGGAGAGACUUUUAAAGGCAAAUUUGUUUUUUUGAGUCAAGGCAGCGGCUUUGGGAUGUUUUUAGUAGGAUGUCCUCUUCCGCCCCUCCUGCCAGGCUUCCUGGGUAGGGGGUCGGCUAAGCCUUGGCCUUACCAUCCCUCCUCUGCGCCGUGAGGGCAGCUCUAUUCGUUCAUUCCACAGUUAUCCGAGCCUGGGAUGGAAGGCGAUUAGGGCUACCAAAGAGGGAUGCACCCCCU